GACGAACGCUGGCGGCGUGCUUAACACAUGCAAGUCGAACGGAAAGGCCCUGCUUUUGUGGGGUGCUCGAGUGGCGAACGGGUGAGUAACACGUGAGUAACCUGCCCUUGACUUUGGGAUAACUUCAGGAAACUGGGGCUAAUACCGGAUAGGAGCUCCUGCUGCAUGGUGGGGGUUGGAAAGUUUCGGCGGUUGGGGAUGGACUCGCGGCUUAUCAGCUUGUUGGUGGGGUAGUGGCUUACCAAGGCUUUGACGGGUAGCCGGCCUGAGAGGGUGACCGGCCACAUUGGGACUGAGAUACGGCCCAGACUACUACGGGAGGCAGGAGUGGGGAAUAUUGCACAAUGGGCGGAAGCCUGAUGCAGCAACGCCGCGUGCGGGAUGACGGCCUUCGGGUUGUAAACCGCUUUCGCCUGUGACGAAGCGUGAGUGACGGUAAUGGGUAAAGAAGCACCGGCUAACUACGU
rnacentral:rRNA from 1 species